rnacentral:rRNA from 1 species
AACGAACGCUGGCGGCGUGCUUAAUACAUGCAAGUCGAACGAGAAAGUCCUUCGGGAUGAGUAGAGUGGCGCACGGGUGAGUAACGCGUAGGUGACCUACCUUUUAGUGGGGGAUAACUUCGGGAAACCGGAGCUAAUACCGCAUAAGAAGAGUGGAUUGAAAGAAGCUUUUGAAAGAUGGCCACUCCAUGGAAGCUAUCGUUAAAAGAAGGGCCUGCGUACCAUUAGCUAGUUGGUAGGGUAAAGGCCUACCAAGGCGAUGAUGGUUAGCCGGUCUGAGAGGAGGAUCGGCCACACGGGGACUGGGACACGGCCCAGACUCCUACGGGAGGCAGCAGUAGGGAAUAUUGCGCAAUGGGCGAAAGCCUGACGCAGCAACGCCGUGUGAGGGAGGAAGGCCUUAGGGUUGUAAACCUCUGUCGGAAGGGACAAAAAGCGAGCGAGUUAAUACCUUGCUUGAAUGAUGGUACCUUCGGAGGAAGCACCGGCAAACUUCGUGCCAGCCGCCGCCGUAA